UGGGGAAUAUUGCACAAUGGGCGCAAGCCUGAUGCAGCGACGCCGCGUGAGGGAUGACGGCCUUCGGGUUGUAAACCUCUUUCAGUAGGGAAGAAGCCGCAAGGUGACGGUACCUGCAGAAGAAGCGCCGGCUAACUACGUGCCAGCAGCCGCGGUAAUACGUAGGGCGCAAGCGUUAUCCGGAAUUAUUGGGCGUAAAGAGCUCGUAGGCGGUUUGUCGCGUCUGCCGUGAAAGUCCGGGGCUCAACUCCGGAUCUGCGGUGGGUACGGGCAGACUAGAGGGAUGUAGGGGAGACUGGAAUUCCUGGUGUAGCGGUGAAAUGCGCAGAUAUCAGGAGGAACACCGAUGGCGAAGGCAGGUCUCUGGGCAUUAACUGACGCUGAGGAGCGAAAGCAUGGGGAGCGAACAGG
rnacentral:rRNA from 1 species